rnacentral:rRNA from 1 species
CGCUGUAGUUUGAUCCUGGCUCAGGAUGAACGCUAGCGGCAGGCUUAACACAUGCAAGUCGAGGGGUAUAGUUCUUCGGAGCUAGAGACCGGCGCACGGGUGCGUAACGCGUAUGCAAUCUACCUUUUACAGAGGGAUAGCCCGAGAGAAAUUUGGAUUAAUACCUCAUAGUAUGUGAGAAUCGCAUGGUUUCACAUUAAAGUUACAACGGUAAAAGAUGAGCAUGCGUCCCAUUAGCUAGAUGGUAAGGUAA